rnacentral:rRNA from 1 species
UACGUAGGGGGCUAGCGUUGUCCGGAAUCAUUGGGCGUAAAGAGCGUGUAGGCGGCCCGGUAAGUCCGCUGUGAAAGUCGGGGGCUCAACCCUCGAAUGCCGGUGGAUACUGUCGGGCUAGAGUGCGGAAGAGGCGAGUGGAAUUCCUGGUGUAGCGGUGAAAUGACGCAGAUAUCAGGAGGAACACCGAUUGCGAAGGCAGCUUACUACGGGAUUAUUGACACUGAGGCACGAAAGCGUGGGGAUCAAACUGG